rnacentral:rRNA from 1 species
CCCUUAGAUGUUCUGGGCCGCACGCGCGCUACACUGAUGAAUGCAACGAGCUCUACCCUUGACCGAAAGGCCCGGGUAAACUUGUGAAACUUCAUCGUGAUGGGGAUAGAUUAUUGCAAUUAUUAAUCUUCAACGAGGAAUUCCUAGUAAGCGCGAGUCAUCAACUCGCGUUGAUUACGUCCCUGCCCUUUGUACACACCGCCCGUCGCUCCUACCGAUUGAAUGGUCCGGUGAAAUCUUCGGAUUGCUGACCAAGAUCCAGCAAUGGAGCUUGGUUGCGAGAAGUUGAUUAAACCUUAUUAUUUAGAGGAAGGAGAAGUCGUAACA